CUUCCUUCCCUCACCAAAAAAUUGUCUGCACCUAGCAGUCAACCCACAUGUCUGACUGAGCUUCUGCUUCCAGAACAGAAAAGCCUCACCUCCCCUAGGCCAUUCCUAGUGACCAAACAUCCUCCCCUGUGUCUGCUCCUGGUGAUCAGAAAGUCAGUCCCUGAGCUGAAGCAGCUGAGCUCCAGAUAUAUUUCCCCACAGCAAAAAUGACAAAUAGCAACUAUGUGUUCCUAGAACAAGAAGAAAAUCUUGCAGGACUGAGAAAAAUGUUGGUGUUAGCAUUCUCACUUCAAUCGGCCGGCAAAAUUUGCCAUGGCUUUUCCCUAUCUGACCCUUUUGGCCUUCCAACCCUCCACUUCUGUGAUCUGACCAUGUGGCACAAACCACAUUCUGUUCCCUUCCAACACGCUGGAACAAUAAACUGGGCCUUGGCUUGACUGAGCCAAUAGAUGGUUGGUUUUGCUCUUCUCACUAUAAAUAAGUGGUACAGAGGAACAAGAAGCCUUAAGUUGACCAAAUGGUGGACGAAGAGCAAAGUGAGGUUUCAUGACUUCACACACAUCUUGAGAAAGACAGCGUAUGAGCCUAUUGGGUGGUCCUUGUAACCUCAUUCUUGGGUCAUGGGGUGAGGGAGAAAUUUGGCGGUGAGAAAGAAGACAUGGAGGCGUUCAAGAUGGCGGAGAAAGUAAUGGGGAAAGGAGGUGGGGAGACCGAAAAAAAUCCUCCUCCUGUAUAGUUAGGCCAAGCAUUUGUUAUCGUUGUGUCUAGCUCUCCAAAUCAAAAAAAGUAAAAUCAAACAAACAAAGAAUCCACCAGCCAGAACCAGGCAGACUCUCCCGCCUUGAUUCACACAUGGUCUCCUCAUUCCCCACUCCUGCCACAGAUGGUGGCAAAGCUCCACUGACACUCACAGCGCCCUGAGGCCUUGAAACUUCCUCUGCAGUCCCUCUGCAAGGGUGGCUGGCUUCUCCCCCUCUCAGCUGCCACGGGACAAUCUCUGCCUCCCCUUCCCCUUCUCUGCACUCCCCAUCAAAAUGGCACAUUGUUAGAAAUGUGCUCGGGAUGUGUGAUUUGGGGCAGAUAGUUGCUGGAGUUCCCAUAUGCUUAAGGUACAUAACUGGGCCACUGAGAAAAAGGAAUUUAAGCAUUCUAGAAAACAGCAGGAGAGCAAAUUGGCCUUUCCCUCUGAGAGCUAUUAUUAGAGAGACCCAGCCCAAUUCAGCCAGAAAGCCAAUAUCCAGCCCAUCCGCUCUUCCCCUACAACAAUGCCCCACACAUCCCGCCCCCUUUCAAGCAGGACUGCCCCGAUGCAUCCCAGCCAGACGCACGUCUCAUCUUUAAUGCUGACCACUGGCUUGCAGAGAUCAGUGGAAACGUCCCUUCUCACACAGCAACUUGACAGUCCAAAGUUUAAUUUCACAUAAUACCAAGAACUCACAGAACGUGGCAGCACAUUUGAUUUGUCCUCAUGGAAUUUGGCAACCUGCUAGCUCUUCUCUCUGUGUACCUGCUGAAGUCACAGCUGCUGCCUAAACUUUGUAAAUAAAUGCUAAACAAAUGCCAAAUAAAGAAACCAACUUCCCAGGAAGCAGAAAGGGCAGGAGAUCACAGUUUUUGUUCUCAGAAAUAUGCUUGCGACCUGUAUCCUGGCAUCUUAGGUGUGUCUCUGUUCUCUUGUGUCUUUUUUGUUGUUGUUUUUUCAGAUUUAUUUGUUUAUUUAUUUGGGGGAGGAGGGGCAGAGAAAGAGAGAGAAUCUCAAGCAGAUUCCUUGCUGUGCACAGAGCCCAACAUGGGGCUUGAUCUCACGACCCUGAGAUCACGACCUGAGCUGAAAUCAAGAGUCAGAUCUUUAACCGACUGAGCCACCCAGGGGCCCCUAUUCUCUUGUGUCUUGAAAUGCUCUUCUACUUAGGUGGGGGUGGGGGAGGGGCGGUAGGAAGGAGGGAGGGAGGGAGGUAGUGAAGGAAGGAGGAAGGAAGGGGAGGAGGGAGGAAGGAAGGGGAGGAGGGAGGAAGGAAAAAAGAAACGAAGGGGGGGAAGGACAUAUAAAGAGAAAAGCCUUUCCUAUUAUUUGAAAAUGUUGGCUAGGAAGACCAUACCCAGCCUUAUUAUUUCUUAUGGCACACAUUUCUAUGGAAAUUAGAGAUUUUGGAGUCUAUUUUUUCACUGGAUUUAAUCUCCAAUCAUGCAAUGAAUUAAUGAGGUUUCAUUAAUUCAGGUUUCAUUUCACUCAAUACUCUACUUGGCAGGCAUGUGUCCACGGCCCAUGUGAAGACAUUAUUGGUUGGGCCUUUUAAUUGUUCCUGGUCCUUUGGCCUCACAGGUCAUGUUUCUUAACAGCAACUCCUUACUGAAUGGUUAUGUAGUUAAUCAUUCAAGAUUCUCUGGCAUGUUACGCUCUGUGUUCUCUCCAGCCCAGGUAAUGGACAACUGAACCAACCCAUGCAGGGUGGAGACGCCAACAUUUCUUAGCACGGGUAAGUGGACUGUUGGGAAGCCGCCUCCAUUUCCCUGCCCCUCUCAAAGGAUACAUCCACCCCAUACACAAGAGGAGGAACUAGAAGUAAGCUGAGACAUGAUGUAUGGGGGAGACGUGACUUACCGCUAAUCUCUGGCUUUCCGAGUCAGCUGAUGAUUCAAGCCAAAGUAAAUAAGCUGAUAACCAUGAUACGCACAGCCACCACCUACUGAAUACUUAAAUGCCAGGCUCUAUACCAUAGUGCCUUGGCUCUGGUCUUCUCCCAGUGAACCAGGAGUUCCAUGAAGGGCAAUGAUCUUGUUUCAACCCUAUGAGGCAGCUACCCUCAUCAAAGUAUCUUAUUAUCCCCAUUUUUUUUAUAGAUGCAGAAAGUGAGUCUCAGAGGCUUUAAGUAACUUGUCCAAAUAAGCGGUGAAACCGGAACUCAAGCAUAGACAGUCUUCUUCUAGGACCUGUGCCUUUGCAGGAUGCUUAUUGCAGCAACAAGCAUUUUUUGAAUGAAUAAAGGGUCUCACGGAAGCAUUAAAACCGCUUUAAGGGAUAAACAUGACUACCCUUAUCUACAAAAUAGGAAACUGAGACUCAGACUGG
rnacentral:lncRNA from 1 species